rnacentral:rRNA from 1 species
AUUUCACACUGUCAAGAAAAGCUUCUAUCGAGUUUAAAGGCACCCGUACCGUAAACCGACACAGGUGGGUGAGGAGAGUAUCCUAAGGCCAGCGAGAGAACUAUUGUUAAGGAACUCGGCAAAAUGACCCCGUAACUUAGGGAGAAGGGGUGCCUGUCUAUGACAGGCCGCAGAGAAUAGGCCAAGCGACUGUUUACCAAAAACACAGGUUUCUGCUAAGUCGCAAGACGAUGUAUAGGAGCUGACGCCUGCCCGGUGCUGGAAGGUUAAGGGGAUCUGUUAGAGCAAUCGAAGCAGUGAACUUAAGCCCCAGUAAACGGCGGCCGUAACUAUAACGGUCCUAGGGUAGCGAAAUUCCCUGUCGGGUAAGUUCCGACCCGCACGAAAGGCGUAACGAUUUGGGCACUGUCUCAACAAUAGACUCGGUGAAAUUGUAAUCCCGGUGAAGAUGCCGGGUACCUGCGACAGGACGGAAAGACCCCAUGGAGCUUUACUGUAGCUUGACGUUGGGUCUUGGUACUACAUGUACAGGAUAGGUGGGAGACUAUGAAGCAUGGACGCCAGUCUGUGUGGAGUCAUCCUUGGGAUACCACCCUUGUAGUACUGGGAUCCUAACCAUAGGCCUUGAAUCAGGUCUUGGAACACCGUCAGGUGGGCAGUUUGACUGGGGCGGUCGCCUCCUAAAAAGUAACGGAGGCGCUCAAAGGUUUCCUCAGCACGGUCGGAAAUCGUGCGAAGAGUGUAAAGGCAAAAGGAAGCUUGAUUGCAAGACAUACAGGUCGAGCAAGGACGAAAGUCGGACUUAGUGAUCCGGUGGUACGCAUGGAAGGGCCAUCGCUCAACGGAUAAAAGCUACCCUGGGGAUAACAGGCUUAUCUCCCCCAAGAGUCCACAUCGACGGGGAGGUUUGGCACCUCGAUGUCGGCUCAUCACAUCCUGGGGCUGUAGUAGGUCCCAAGGGUUGGGCUGUUCGCCCAUUAAAGUGGUACGCGAGCUGGGUUCAGAACGUCGUGAGACAGUUCGGUCCCUAUCCGUCGCAGGCGUAGGAAAUUUGAGAAGACCUGUCCUUAGUACGAGAGGACCGGGAUGGACGUACCUCUGGUGUACCAGUUGUUCUGCCAAGGGCAUGGCUGGGUAGCUAUGUACGGAAUGGAUAAGCGCUGAAAGCAUCUAAGCGCGAAGCCAACUUCAAGAUAAGAUUUCCCACCGUAAGGGUAAGACCCCAGGAAGACUACCUGGUUGAUAGGUCGAAGGUGUAAGUGCAGUAAUGUAUUUAGCUUAUCGAUACUAAUAGGUCGAGGACUUGACC